AUGUCAAGAGGACACUUCUUGAGCAUCAUCUUGUAUCUCUCCCAGGCUUCAUAAAGGGAUUCACCCUCUUUCUGCCUGAAAGUCUAAACAUCAGUCCUCAACUU